rnacentral:rRNA from 1 species
GAUGAACGCUGGCGGCGUGCCUAAUACAUGCAAGUCGAGCGAACGGACGAGAAGCUUGCUUCUCUGAUGUUAGCGGCGGACGGGUGAGUAACACGUGGAUAACCUACCUAUAAGACUGGGAUAACUUCGGGAAACCGGAGCUAAUACCGGAUAAUAUUUUGAACCGCAUGGUUCAAAAGUGAAAGACGGUCUUGCUGUCACUUAUAGAUGGAUCCGCGCUGCAUUAGCUAGUUGGUAAGGUAACGGCUUACCAAGGCAACGAUGCAUAGCCGACCUGAGAGGGUGAUCGGCCACACUGGAACUGAGACACGGUCCAGACUCCUACGGGAGGCAGCAGUAGGGAAUCUUCCGCAAUGGGCGAAAGCCUGACGGAGCAACGCCGCGUGAGUGAUGAAGGUCUUCGGAUCGUAAAACUCUGUUAUUAGGGAAGAACAUAUGUGUAAGUAACUGUGCACAUCUUGACGGUACCUAAUCAGAAAGCCACGGCUAACUACGUGCCAGCAGCCGCGGUAAUACGUAGGUGGCAAGCGUUAUCCGGAAUUAUUGGGCGUAAAGCGCGCGUAGGCGGUUUUUUAAGUCUGAUGUGAAAGCCCACGGCUCAACCGUGGAGGGUCAUUGGAAACUGGAAAACUUGAGUGCAGAAGAGGAAAGUGGAAUUCCAUGUGUAGCGGUGAAAUGCGUAGAGAUAUGGAGGAACACCAGUGGCGAAGGCGACUUUCUGGUCUGUAACUGACGCUGAUGUGCGAAAGCGUGGGGAUCAAACAGGAUUAGAUACCCUGGUAGUCCACGCCGUAAACGAUGAGUGCUAAGUGUUAGGGGGUUUCCGCCCCUUAGUGCUGCAGCUAACGCAUUAAGCACUCCGCCUGGGGAGUACGACCGCAAGGUUGAAACUCAAAGGAAUUGACGGGGACCCGCACAAGCGGUGGAGCAUGUGGUUUAAUUCGAAGCAACGCGAAGAACCUUACCAAAUCUUGACAUCCUUUGACAACUCUAGAGAUAGAGCUUUCCCCUUCGGGGGACAAAGUGACAGGUGGUGCAUGGUUGCCGUCAGCUCGUGUCGUGAGAUGUUGGGUUAAGUCCCGCAACGAGCGCAACCCUUAAGCUUAGUUGCCAUCAUUAAGUUGGGCACUCUAAGUUGACUGCCGGUGACAAACCGGAGGAAGGUGGGGAUGACGUCAAAUCAUCAUGCCCCUUAUGAUUUGGGCUACACACGUGCUACAAUGGACAAUACAAAGGGCAGCGAAACCGCGAGGUCAAGCAAAUCCCAUAAAGUUGUUCUCAGUUCGGAUUGUAGUCUGCAACUCGACUACAUGAAGCUGGAAUCGCUAGUAAUCGUAGAUCAGCAUGCUACGGUGAAUACGUUCCCGGGUCU